AUUGAACGCUGGCGGCAGGCUUAACACAUGCAAGUCGAGCGAGCGGCGGACGGGUGAGUAAUGUCGGGGAAACUGCCUGAUGGAGGGGGAUCACUACUGGAAACGGUAGCUAAUACCGCAUACCAUAAGGUGUGCCCAGAUGGGAGUAGAUAGUAGGUGGGGUAGUGGAGAACCGAGGCGACGAACCCUAGCUGGUCUGAGAGGAUGACACGCCACACUGGAAGUGUGACACGGGCCAGACUCCGACGGGAGGCAGCAGGGGUGAAUAUUGCACAAUGGGCGCAAGCCUGAUGCAGCCAUGCCUCGUGUGUGAAGAAGGCCUUCGGGUUGUAAAGCACGUUCAGCGAGGAGGCGUUACUCGCAGAAGAAGCACCGGCUAACUCCGUGCCAGCAGCCGCGGUAAUAC
rnacentral:rRNA from 1 species